CAGUAGCCGCGGGAAUACGUAGGGUGCAAGCGUUAAUCGGAAUUACCGGGCGUAAAGCGUGCGCAGGCGGUGUUGUAAGACUGAUGUGAAAUCCCCGGGCUCAACCUGGGAACUGCAUUGGUGACUGCAACGCUGGAGUGCGGCAGAGGGGGAUGGAAUUCCGCGUGUAGCAGUGAAAUGCGUAGAUAUGCGGAGGAACACCGAUGGCGAAGGCAAUCCCCUGGGCCUGCACUGACGCUCAUGCACGAAAGCGUGGGGAGCAAACAGGAUUAGAUACCCGAGUAGUCCCUGUCUCUUAUAC
rnacentral:rRNA from 1 species